UAUCUCUUAUAAAAUCAUACAGGAAACAUUAUCAAACAUAAAAUGAUGUUUGACUUUCUUUAUUCUAAAAACUAAUAAAAAUAGGUGCUAAAAAUUUUCCAAAUGAAAAUAAAUAUUGCUAAACCAAAGAGAAAUGUUAUCUAAGCCCCGUAUAAAAAAUAAAUAAAUCUUGUUCCAAUUGCAUCAAAAAACCCAUUAAGGGCCCUCCAGCACAGGGUUAAUACCAACGAGUUUCCACCUCCAGCUGCUCCUAGAGUGGCCACAGCAUGAGCCAUCUGGUGGGGGACCUAGCCGCCAACAGACACUUCCUGUACAGGGGAGGGGGGAGGGGGCCAGGCAGCCGUUAGACAGCACAACCGAACCCAACACCGGGGCCCAACGGCAGGGGCUUGGGCAGGAGCAAGGUCCGAGGGCUGCCAGGUCCACGCUGCUUUUAUGAGCUGUAACACUCACCGCGAAGAUCUGCAGCUUCACUCCUGAGCCCAGCGAGACCACGAGCCCACCGGGAGGAACAAACAACUCCAGACGCGCUGCCUUAAGAGCUGUAACACUUGCCGUGAAGGUCUGCAGCUUCACUCCUGAGCCAGCGAGACCACGAACCCACCAGAAGGAAGAAACUCCGAACACAUCUCAACAUCAGAACGGACAGACUCCAGACGCACCACCUUAAGAGCUGUAACACUCACCGCGAGGUUCCGCGGCUUCAUUCUUGAAGUCAGUAAGACCAAGAACCCACCAAUUCCGGACACAGUAGCAUUUGGGAAUAAUAAGAAUUGUAGCUGGGCAUGGUGGUACACGCCUGUAGACCCCUAGCAGCUGCCAUCAUCCUCACCAUCCGCAUAUUAUUGAUAUAUUAACUCUUUGAUGGCAACCAUAGCUUAUCCCCCUUAUCUCCCUAUGCCCUACAGCAGGGCAGUGGAAUGGUUAAGAGGCUUUGAAGUCUAAGAGUGCUGGCUUAAAACCCUAAUUUGUCAUUUUGGAUGUGUGGCUUUGGACACUUGGGGCAGGUCACCUAUGUUCUUCAAGCCCUGUAUCCUUAUCUGUCAGAUGAUGAUUUUUUUUUUUUUAGACGAAGUCUCACUCUCUUGCCCGGGCUGGAGUGCAGUGGCAUGAUCUCGGCUUACUGCAAGCUCCACCUCCCGGGUUGACGCCAUUCUCCUGCCUCAGCUUCCUGAGUAGCUGGGACUACAGGCUCCUGCCACCACCCGUGGCUAAUUUUUUUGUAUUUUUAGUAGAGACAGGGUUUCACCAUGUUAGCCAGGAUGGUCUCGAUCUCCUGACCUCGUGAUCUGCCCGCCCCAGCCUCCCAAAGUAUCAGAUGAUUUUAACAACUAUGCUUCCAUGACUUGCUGGGCUAGAUGAUAUGACUGUAAAAUGCCUAACCCAUGGUUUAGCAUCAAGUAAGCAAAUUGUAAAUGGUAGCACUGCUCUGCCUAUGACUAUUUAGUCUUGUGCUUUAAACUCAAAUAUUUGUUGGCCUACUGAAGUCACCACACAGAGAAAGAUGCUUUUCAUUCUCAGUAAAGAACUUUGGGAGAUAACUGGGGCAGGCAGCAAGAGAACAGAUGUCAUAUGUCUAGCAUCAGCAAACUCAUCAGAACUGAUGGGCAGCUCACUUUGCUUAGAACCUGCACCAGCAUACACACGGGGCUGCUUCCCAGUCACACUGCUCCUGGGAAGGUAGGGGGGCUGCUGUUCUGCAAUUAGCGCGGUUCUUUACCUCCUAUUACCGAACUGCCAGAGUUCAUUUGUGUUCAGUUAGGUAGAUGACCAAUUCUUGUUCAUUCCUAUUUUCUUUUGCUCACUAAUGUGUUUAACGUUCACUAACCUACCAAAUGUGAUUUAUUAGCGACUUUUUCUUUGAAGAUGGAGUGGAGGAAUCCUAGCGCUUUCUGCAACAUGCUACUGCUGUUAUGGAACAGUGCAGAUAUGGAAGUGCAUCAGCCGGGGAUGGGGAGAGGCUAGGGCAGUACAUGUGAAUGGAGAGGUAGCCCCACCAGUGUGUUUUCUGAAAUACAGUCCCGCAGAGGGCAGUCUUGGGAAAUUACUGUUCUCACACACUCUUCUUGACCCUACCCCUCCAGCACCUCCCUUGCUAUCCAAGGGUUGGGAUUUUUAAAAAGAAAAACAAAUUUUAAAAAAAGCAGUGUGAAUCUUUUGCCAUCUUGUAAGGGUGAAAAGCCCCCUACCAAGUCGGGAUGAACAUUCAUGCGUGUGCUUGAGGGCUUGGGAAAAAGACAGGGCUUGGCCCCACAGUGCAGGUAGGCCCAGUGAUCCUAUAAUAGGGGCCAGGAGAUGGGAGGUCCCCUGUGGGCAGGAGUUCAAGUAUGUGGUAUUAUAUGACUGGUGCUUGAUGAACCCAGGGAGAGGGCACCAAAAACAAUGGUAUUUAAUUGUAAAAUCUCCACCCCCUGAGGAUAUGUUUUCAGGUCUGGGUGACUAAUUAGACUGGGAAACAAGGGCAGGAACGAUGGCCCUGUGCUUGCUCUGCCCGCUGCCUCUGUGGAUGUGUGGGCUGCUGGCUUCAGUCCUGCUUUUCUUUCUGAUGGUAUUGUUUAUGCUAUGUGUUUUUGCAGGAGGCCUGAGGUGGGCUGGGUUCUCCUCCUAUGGCAGGGCUUCACUCUCCUCCUCCUUCUCUGUUGGGGCUUCACUGUCCCUGGGAUAAGAAUAACAAUGCCAAGGUUUUCAUUCUUGAAAGGAGCAAUUAAGCGUCUCACCCCCUCCUCAUUUUAGAUGGGAACUGUGAGGGUCCCGUCAUUUACCCAGGGUCCCUGUUGAGGAUCUUGUCCUCAUUAGAUGACUUCUUGUGCAGCUUCCAUGCGUGAUUCUUUACUCUUGUGGCACUGAGAGGUUUGUACAUGUCUUUAAGCCAGAGCGGCUUUCUGAAUGAAAAAAGUCCAUCCUAGAAGAUAGAAAGGGAAAUAUUAAUUUUGCAUGUCCUCUGCUUUCCCUGGUCACAGCAAUGAAUCCUCCAAUGUACCUGACUCUCCCUUUGCGAAGAGCAUCUCCGUGGCAGAAAUCUGAAAAUGCCCCUGGGGAGACACAUGCACAAGACAGUUCGUGAGCCACACAUCUCCCCACACCAAGCUCCUCCAUACAAGACCUCGGACUGCAUCACGUAAAUGCUUUUUCAGGGGCAAAAUCUAGAGAAUCUGAAACGAGCUAUCAGCUUCCCAGUUUGCACAAUUCAUCAAGAAAUUAUGCGGGGUCACUGGCACAAAUGAUGAGGCAUCUCCUGGAAGCUUAACUUCUUAUCCAUCCCAUCUCUUGGACAGAUGAUGCCAGUUAAUUACUUUGAAUGGGUCUGUCACACGCAGCCCAACUCAACUGGAGUCCUGAGAAGGUGAACAGACCAGGAUGGAUGGCCAGGGAACUCACCAGAAGUCCCCAGGCAUCAGAACAAGGUCGAAGCAUCCUGAUUAGGGUACCAGAGGCCCAGGCAGUACUUUUGGGGUAGACGAGGUACAGACCUUUGGCUCCUCACUGUCUUCAAGCCCACAAGAAGCAUAGAGCAGAAGAAGACAGAGGAGGGCCCAUCUGGCCCACUACCUGUUCUUGUAAAUAAAGCUUUAUUGAAGCCAGGUGCUCACCUUCUAGCACAUUCUUCAAGAGUUACUCUGAGGCAAGCCAGCCGCCAUGUCAUGAGGACACUCAAGCAGCACCAUGGAGAGGUCCGAUGGCGAGGAACAGAGGAUCCCCCUGCCGACAGCCAAUGAGGAACAGGCCUCCUGCCAACAGCCGUGUAAGGGGUCACCUUGGAAGCCAAUGGCCCCUCCCUGGUCAGGCUUUUACAUGACUGCAGUCCUGGCCAACAUCCUGACGGCAACCUCAUGAGAGACCUUGAGCCAGAGCCACCCACCUAAGCUGCUUAUAGGUUCCUGGCCCUCAGAAAUCACAUGAGAUCAUAAAUGUUUGCUCAAUUUGAGAUAUUUGUGAUGUAGCAAUAAAUAACAAACACACUUA
rnacentral:lncRNA from 1 species